CUCUCCAGAACUGAGGGCUCCGUGGCCAGGCGCUCUUGGCUCUUUGCCCGGCCUGACAGUUGCUCGUUGUAGGUGAGCUCGCUGCGGUUCGGGAAGGAGGUGGACAGCAAGUGUCUGAGCCUGACGGCGUCGUACGUGCGGGCGCAGCAGCAGUGGGACAGCGCCAUCCCCUCGUGCCGCUUCUUCGAGGAGUUCGAUGCCCAUGGGCGGCAGGUGCCCAUCCCCUUUGGCGUCUACAACCUGGAUGACCUCAAAGGGUACUGUCGGCAGAAGGGCUGGUGCCCCUACUUCCUCGCCCGCUACUCGAUCCUCCACGCCAACAUUGUUGUGUACAGUUACCACUACCUGCUGGACCCCAAGAUCGCAGACCUGGUGUCCAAGGAGCUGGCCAAGAAAUCCGUCGU
rnacentral:lncRNA from 1 species